UGCCAGCAGCCGCGGUAAUACGGAGAGGGCAAGCGUUGUUCGGAAUCACUGGGCAUAAAGCGCACGUAGGCGGAUUGGAUAGUCGGUUGUGAAAGCCCGGGGCUCAACCCCGGAAUGGCUUCCGAAACUGCCAGUCUGGAGGACAAGAGGGGAGAGUGGAACUUCUGGUGGAGCGGUGAAAUGCGUAGAUAUCAGAAGGAACACCGGUGGCGAAGGCGGCUUUCUGGACCGAUACUGACGCUGAGACGCGAAAGCGUGGGGAGCAAACAGGAUUAGAUA
rnacentral:rRNA from 1 species